rnacentral:lncRNA from 1 species
ACACUAUGAAAUAUAUUCUCCAACAACUCGGAUAUUUAAAAUGAAAUAAAGACUACUACACUAGGGUUUUAUCAGUUUCUUUCUACCUGGUCUUAAUUAAUUUGUCUUAUCCCAUAUAUAUGGCGACUUUUUUUGUGUGCAAACAAUUGCUAAAUGAUUAUCAUUUAUUAAGAUAAAAUGAAAUAAUACGAAACAAAUAUAAAAAAAAGUGAUAUACGUUCACUCUAAAGUAAACCAAGCGGCU